rnacentral:rRNA from 1 species
AUACGUAGGGGGCGAGCGUUGUCCGGAAUGAUUGGGCGUAAAGGGCGCGUAGGCGGCGCGGUAAGUCUGGAGUGAAAGUCCUGCUUUCAAGAUGGGAAUUGCUUUGGAUACUGGGGGGCUUGAGUGCAGGAGAGGUUAUCGGAAUUCCCGGUGUAGCGGUGAAAUGCGUAGAGAUCGGGAGGAACACCAGUGGCGAAGGCGGGUAACUGGACUGCAACUGACGCUGAGGCGCGAAAGUGUGGGGAGCAAACAGGAUUAGUUACCCUGGUAGUCCACACUGUAAACGAUGAAUGCUAGGUGUAAGAGGUAUCGACCCCUUUUGUGCCGGAGUCAACACAAUAAGCAUUCCGCCUGGGGAGUACGGCCGCAAGGUUGAAACUCAAAUGAAUUGGCGGGG